CGGGGAGUUUGUCAAGCAUGAAAAAUAUAAACAAAAUUAAUUUCGUAACUAUAAGUACUGUGUUUCAGCCAUGGAAGAUGCUAUCUACCUCAAAGAAAGAUAAGCCACUAUCAGUGAUAGAAAAUUAAAAACCAAACGUAAUAGUUGAAAAAAAGAUAGAUCGACACAAUACAUAAUAAUAUUAAAAGAAAUUUGUAAAAUGUUUCCCAUUUGGAUUAAAAAAUAGAGAUCUUAUAUCUAUCU
rnacentral:lncRNA from 1 species